GCGGGAGAGGGGGAGGGGAGGAAGUGCCGAGGGGUGUUUGUCGGGCUUGGCAUUAUUAAUUUUUAAAUGGUGAACUUACAAAAUAGUAACGACGAGUGAAAAGAACUUCAUAAACGAGGAAAAAGACCAACCCGCAGACCCACGGCGCGCACCACGGAGGGGCUUGCAGCGAGAAGACAGGGACCUCCGUUCCCAAGUGCCCAGCACUGCGCCACAGGCCGGGUGGAACGGGCCUUGAGGGCCUCUGGUUUGAGGUCCCCCACGGUCGGGCUUUGGGCCCACCGCGUGCGGCGCCGUGCUGGGCUCCUAGGAUCGGCAGCGAGUCCAGUGACUCCCACCGCACCCCCAGUAAUCACAGGGCGGCCGUCGACCGCGGGCAGGGGAGGGGGUCUGGGAAGGCCCCUGGAGAAGGUGGCAUUUCCUCGAGGUCGGUGGAAUUUGGCUACGCGAAAGGAACAGCGCGUACGAAAACUUCAGGCGGGAACGCGCGGUGGCCCGUGCGCGGCGGAACCUGGCUCCCCUCCCCUCCGGAGCUCGCGGGGAUCCCUCCCUCCCACCCCUCCCCUCCCCCCCGCGCCCCGAUUCCGGCCCCAGCCGGGGGGGAGGCCGGGCGCCCGGGCCAGAGUCCGGCCGG
rnacentral:lncRNA from 1 species